AAACUUAAAUUCGAACAGAUUAUGCAGUGUACAUUUUGAAAAUACUAUGUUUUGAAAUAAAACUCGGAACAGGUUAUGUAAAAAUGCAGUACCACGUUUAUUUCCUUCAAUAGAAGAGAGUCCAAACCAACAUUCAAAUGUUGAUCAAGAUGAUGAAAACAGUUUUGAUCCAGUAAAUGAGGAAGAUGAGGAACAACGGGAAGAAUUAGCUACCGUACUGCUAGGUGGAGAGGACGACAGCGAAGUUGUUCUACAAAAAAAUCAACAAACUCAAACUUUGGAAAGUGUAUCGACCUAUAGCCCUAGAAAAAACAAGCUAAGAAAGACUAUAAAGGAAUUGCAAAACAAGAAUUUUCGAUUAAAAAAAAAUUGCAAAAACUACAAGGUUCUGGUCGGAGAUAUUCAAACGAAUACAAAAACUUUUGUUUACAAUUAUAUUUUAACGGUCCAAAACUGUAUAGGAAAAAAUUAGUUAAAGAAUUUUGCUUGCCCAGUGUUACAACAUUACACAAAUUUGUCACACAUAUAUCUGUCAAACCUGGAAUAAAUGAUUUCAUUUU